rnacentral:lncRNA from 1 species
CUCUUUAAUUAAGUCUCCCAAACAAAGUUUGGAGACUUAUUGUUUUUGCUCAGUUCUUAUUAUUUUUAUUAUUCUUCUUCUUUUUCUUUUUCUUUUUCUUCCGCCACUUUAAAAAAUGAACUUGUCCGCAGCGUUUCUCCAAAACCACUUGUCAGAUUUACUUAGGGUUUCAUAAAAUGGUAGACUAAUAUGUCUAGGUGAGCCAUCAAUCUUUCGUUUGUGCAUUGGGGUCUAUUAAGGGGUAUUUUGGGGGGUAGAAAGCAGGGAGGGUUUUACUAUAGAACCCUAUGGGAUUUUAUUUUCAAAAUUUUUUAAAUGAAUAUAACUUGAAAACUAUAAGUGAUAGAUACAUACAGUCUUCAGAAAUGAUAAUAGGACAAUAAAAUAAUUCACAUGAAAUAUAGGGGGAUGCCCUGGGGGGUCAUCCCCACCCCCUUCAAUUUGAGAAUGUUGCUAUUAUCUUGUAAACAGUCCAGAUCCCACCCCUAAACCAUAUAUAUUCUUCUUGUGGGGGACAAUAAAACAAAUCAAAUGAAAUAAAAAAGAAGUCCCUGGGGGUCACCCACCCCCCUUGUUGGAAAACUUUUAAACGGUCCAGAUCCCCACCCCUAAACCAUAUAUAUUCUUGUAGGGGACAAUAAGACAAAUCAAAUGAAAUAAAAAGGAAGUCCCUAGGGGGUCACCCCACCCCUUCUUGUUUGAAAACUUGUAAACGGUCCAGAUCCCCACCCCUAAACCAUAUAUAUUCUUGUAGGGGACAAUGAAACAAAUCACAUGUAAUUAGAUGGAAGUUCCUGGGGGUCACCCCUACCCCGUUCAAUUUGAGAAUGUACUAUUAUCUUGUAAACAGUCCAGAUCCCCACCCCUAAACCAUAUAUAUUCUUGUAGGGGACAAUAAAACAAAUCAAAUGAAAUAAAAGGGAAGUCCCUAGGGGGUCACCCCACCCCCUCUAGGUUGACAACUUGUAAACGGUCCAGAUCCCCACCCCUAAACCAUAUAUAUUCUUGUAGGGGACAAUAAAACAAAUCAAAUGAAAUAAAAGGGAAGUCCAAAGG